UACUUAGGGAUCUGUCCUUGAGCGGGAGUAACCAUUGGAACGAUGGCUAAUAACGCAUAACGUCUACGGACCAAAGGGGACGUUCGGCUCUCGCUCGAGGAGGAACCUAAGCGAGAUUAGCUUGUUGGUGAGGUAAAGGCUCACCAAGGCGACGAUCUCUAGCUGUUCUGAGAGGAAGAUCAGCCACACUGGGACUGAGACACGGCCCAGACUCCUACGGGAGGCAGCAGUGGGGAAUAUUGCACAAUGGGGGAAACCCGUGAUGCAGCCAUGCCGCGUGUGUGAAGAAGGCCUUCGGUU
rnacentral:rRNA from 1 species